rnacentral:rRNA from 1 species
AUACGUAGGGUGCUAGCGUUGUUCGGAAUCAUUGGGCGUAAAGCGCGUGUAGGUGGUUAGAUAAGUCGAUUGUGAAAUCCCUGGGCUUAACCGAGGAAGUGCAGUCGAAACUAUCUAGCUAGAGGAUGGCAGAGGAAGGUGGAAUUCCAAGUGUAGAGGUGAAAUUCGUAGAUAUUUGGAGGAAUACCGGUGGCGAAGGCGGCCUUCUGGACCAGUCCUGACACUGAGACGCGAAAGCGUGGGGAGC